rnacentral:rRNA from 1 species
CUAGCCCUAAAUCCAGAUACCCUCCUACCUAUGUAUCCGCCUGAGAACUACGAGCACAAACGCUUAAAACUCUAAGGACUUGGCGGUGCCCCAAACCCAC